UAUCUAUCCUGAACUGGGUUUUCUUUUGUUGAGAGAGAAAGAGAGAACAAGAAAGGAAGAGUGAGAAAGAACCUCAUCCCCAAAUACCCAUUUCAUCGCCUCUCUUUUAGAUCUGAGACCCUACAGCGCUCUCUCUCAAAUUCAUGUCCGCCAUCGCAAAAAUAACCACCGCUGAAACCAGUUGGAACCAUCUUCCAUCGAUCUUACAGCUAGGGUUCAACCAUCUUCCACCGCUGAAACCAGUUGCAACCAUCUUCCAUCGAUCUUGCUGCUAGGGUUCAACCAUCUUCCACCGCUGAAACUAGUAAUGAUGUUCGUACCCCAAGCAUGUGAUGCUUCAGAUGUGAAGGACAGGUCGGGUAUUGGGUCCUAACAAAUUUUAGCCAAAACAGGAAUCGGUAGUUGGUGGUGUACAAACAAUGCUUAGAAUAGCAGAGGACAAGUUUCACGAUGGAUAUGUUAUGCAAGGAAAACUGUACAUAUACGACCUUUGGAUGACGUUAUAAGCUCCAUCAAUGGAUGGUAUAUGGAGCGUGGCCUUUUUGCCUUGGUUAGUGUUUGAUCCCAUUGCUAUUUGCUCUUUCUGUAAUUGCAGUUUUGUUUGACUCUACACCAUUAAUCAUGUAGAUGUAUUUUGAGAUCAUUAGGUUUCAGGGGUUGAGUUUCAUUGUGGGGGAAUUUUGAGGUUAGGCUAACAAUAUAUCCAUAUGCUUUCUCAACAAAACGUAUGAGUAAAUCUUUAUUUCUGCUAUUUAUUUAGACAUUUUGUUUGUUUUCUUAAUUACUUAUCACAGUGUGACAUUUUGUUUGUAAAUUUUUUACUAAGUUUUUAGCAUGUUUAUUAACCAACUAUAUAUUAGAGGAAGCAAUUUUAUCUGCCAGCGUCUUCUCUAGAGGUGGCAAGAUUUUGCAAUUUGGGUAAUGAGUCAGAACAUGUUGUUCGGCUGGUUCGACUCAUAAAUUUGUAUGUUUUUUAGAUAAAUAACUUAUGUGUACUUAUGAUCCCAAAUACGAUAUUUCAUACAAAAAUGAUGUAUGUAUUAUAAGUAGACCUCAGACUAUUUUCAACCCUUUUUAACCCAUUCAUUCUAUCUAAAAAAUAGAUGUGACUUGUAACCCUUAAUUCUAGCAUUUAAUCUUUUUUCUACAAGUGUUUAUUAAAAAAAAUUACUUUCAUUCGCUUUACGUGAUUUCAGUUUAUGCUUAGGUAUUUCUAGGGCUAGCUGUUUAAGGUUCAUAUAACCUUAUGAAUCUUGAAUGACUCAAUUUGGUUAAAGUCUAUUGGGAACAAGUUAGGAAUGGCGCCUUCGACUGAAAAACGGGCCGCUGAAGCCAAGUUUAACGAGGAUGGAAAUACAGGUUGGAAGAGUCAGACUAAGUAAGAUGAUGAAACAGUUGCAGUUGUUGAAGGGGCACUGGAGUCAUUCAAGCUGCACUCGGGUUUUUCAGAUUGGGUUUUCUGAUCGAUUUUCUGUCACAUGCUGCGAUUGUGGGGUUCAUGGGAGGAGUGGUCGUUACCAUUGCGGUUCAGCAACUUAAAGGGUUGUUAGGCAGCAAAGAUUUCAUAGGAACAUUUUAAAAAAUGGAGAUGUCGAUUAUAUUUGUUGAACAACUUACUAAACUAAAACUUGUGUUCAUAAAAUAGAAAAUGGAACUGAUAAGUGUCAAAACAUUAUUAUUUUAAAUUACUUGGUUUCAUGUUAUUUUGAUUUUUUUAAAAA